GAUGAACGCUGGCGGCAUGCCUAAUACAUGCAAGUCGAACGAGAGGAAGGAAAGCUUGCUUUUCUGAAUCUAGUGGCGAACGGAUGAGUAACACGUAGGUAACCUGCCCAUGUGCCCGGGAUAACUUCUGGAAACGGAUGCUAAAACCGGAUAGGUAGCAGACAAGCAUUUGACUGCUAUUAAAGUGGCUAAGGCCAUGAACAUGGAUGGACCUGCGGUGCAUUAGCUAGUUGGUGAGGUAACGGCCCACCAAGGCGACGAUGCAUAGCCGGCCUGGGAGGGCGGACGGCCACAUUGGGACUGAGACACGGCCCAAACUCCUACGGGAGGCAGCAGUAGGGAAUUUUCGUCAAUGGGGGGAACCCUGAACGAGCAAUGCCGCGUGAGUGAGGAAGGUCUUCGGAUCGUAAAGCUCUGUUGUAAGAGAAAAACGACAUUCAUAGGGAAUGAUGAGUGAGUGAUGGUAUCUUACCAGAAAGUCACGGCUAACUACGUGCCAGCCGCCGCUGUAA
rnacentral:rRNA from 1 species